GACGAACGCUGGCGGCGUGCUUAACACAUGCAAGUCGAACGGAAAGGCCUCUUUCGGGGGGUACUCGAGUGGCGAACGGGUGAGUAACACGUGAGUAACCUGCCCUUGACUUUGGGAUAACUUCAGGAAACUGGGGCUAAUACCGGAUAGGAGCUCCUGCUGCAUGGUGGGGGUUGGAAAGUUUCGGCGGUUGGGGAUGGACUCGCGGCUUAUCAGCUUGUUGGUGGGGUAGUGGCUUACCAAGGCUUUGACGGGUAGCCGGCCUGAGAGGGUGACCGGCCACAUUGGGACUGAGAUACGGCCCAGACUCCUACGGGAGGCAGAAGUGGGGAAUAUUGCACAAUGGGCGGAAGCCUGAUGCAGCAACGCCGCGUGCGGGAUGACGGCCUUCGGGUUGUAAACCGCUUUCGCCUGUGACGAAGCGUGAGUGACGGUAAUGGGUAAAGAAGCACCGGCUAACUACGUG
rnacentral:rRNA from 1 species